rnacentral:rRNA from 1 species
GCGCCUACGGGGCGCAGCAGUGGGGGAUAUUGCACAAUGGGGGGAACCCUGAUGCAGCGACGCCGCGUGGGUGAAGGAGCGUUUCGGCGCGUAAAGCCCUAUCGGCAGGGAAGAAGAUGACGGUACCUGACCAAGAAGCCCCGGCUAACUACGUGCCAGCAGCCGCGGUAAUACGUAGGUGGCGAGCGUUAUCCGGAAUGAUUGGGCGUAAAGGGGGCGCAGGCGGGCCUGCAAGUCUGGAGGGAAACG